UACGUAGGUGGCAAGCGUUGUCCGGAUUUACUGGGCGUAAAGGGCUUGUAGGCGGUUCGUUAAGUCUGGUGUGAAAUCUCCCGGCUCAACCGGGAGGGGUCAUCGGAUACUGGCGGACUAGAGACAGGUAGAGGAAAGCAGAAUUCCCGGUGUAGCGGUGAAAUGCGUAGAUAUCGGGAGGAAUACCAGUGGCGAAGGCGGGUCUCUGGGCAACAACUGACGCUGAGGAGCGAAAGCGUGGGGAGCGAACAGG
rnacentral:rRNA from 1 species